ACAAGUGUUCCAUAAUGAUUUUGC
rnacentral:siRNA from 1 species